rnacentral:lncRNA from 1 species
GAGGGGGUGUCAUGCAGGACAAAAGACUCACCAGAGGGCUGAGAACAGAACUCCAGUCUGACCCAUGACCAUGGAGAUCAUGAAGCCUGAAGGCUCAGAGAUAAUAUCCAGGACAAAACAAAGCUAUCCCUCAGAAGUUCUUUGGUAUCGUGUAGACCUGGCGCACACUGGCUCUUCAGGAAUUGUGAAGAUGAGACAGCUUCAUGUGAGUGGCCGGCUAGAAGGUGGGAAUAAGUCGUCUUUGAGCUGUGGUAAGCAGGCUGGUGCCAUGGGAACAGAGCCUGGCGUCUCAAUUGCCCACAUGAUAAGAAACCCUGCUGCUGACUUUGUCAUUGUUCCUUUGCAAUCAGUGACGGCUUUCCAAAAAAAAAAAAAAAAAUGGGGGAGAAACUGCAGGGAUUUCCUAGGGUCUGAAUAGGCAGAGGUGGAGGAUGUGGGGUCAGAUGGUCACACUCAGAGCUUUGCUCUGCUCCGUUCAGGCGAACAGAGGGCAUAGACACCCGGAAGCCCUUUCACAGUGUAGACACCUAAGCGGUUGGUCAAUCACACCCAGACCCCCCACCCCACUGUCCCGCCACACACAUGACUCAUCUUGACCUUUGCUCUAUUAUUGAACGGAUUCCUUGCCAAACUGGGGUUUUCAUAAAUGAUUUCCAGGAAAUGGGAAGGUUGAAAUCAAGUUGAACUCGUGCGGUUUUGCUCUUUAACUUGAGCUUCCUCUGUGAUUCCUGGAUGGUCUCACAGCUCUGCCUUCCAUAACCACUGCGGGUUGCUUGUUUUGACUCCAGGAAGCUCCGAGGUAAUCUAUCCUAUUAAACUCAAAUAGAAUGUUGGCAAGUAAAAAAAAAAAAGUCUGAGCAUCAGCCCACACAGAAGAGUUUAUUUUGCCCAAGAAGUAGAAAAUCAAAUCUCCAUCGCAUGGGAGUGAAUUUCCCUUGCUUGGCUUUCACAAGAAAACAUGCUUUGGACUCCCUUCCCAGAGGUAAAAAUAAAAGAGUGAAAGUUCUUUGUUUGAGUCA